UACCAGCACCCCGAGUGGUCGGGACGUUUAUUGGGCCUAAAGCAUCCGUAGCCGGUUCUACAAGUCUUCCGUUAAAUCCAACUGCUUAACAGGUGGGCUGCGGAAGAUACUAUGGAGCUAGGAGGCGGGAGAGGCAAGCGGUACUCGAUGGGUAGGGGUAAAAUCCGUUGAUCCAUUGAAGACCACCAGUGGCGAAGGCAGCCCCCUGGGUCAAGAUUGACGCUCAUGCACGAAAGCGUGGGGAGCAAACAGG
rnacentral:rRNA from 1 species